GUCCACGGCCAUACCACCCUGAAGGCACCUGAUCUCAGAAGCUAAGCAGAGUUGGGCCUGGUUAGUAUUUGAAAUAUCCAUGUUAGUCUUUUUUA
rnacentral:rRNA from 1 species